rnacentral:rRNA from 1 species
GCAUAUCAAUAAGCGGAGGAAAAGAAACCAACAGGGAUUGCCCCAGUAACGGCGAGUGAAGCGGCAAAAGCUCAAAUUUGAAAUCCUGCGGGAAUUGUAAUUUGAAGGUUUCGUGGUCUGAGUCGGCCGCGCCCAAGUCCAUUGGAACAUGGCGCCUGGGAGGGUGAGAGCCCCGUAUGGCGCACGCCGACUCUUUGCACCGCGGCUCCGACGAGUCGAGUUGUUUGGGAAUGCAGCUCUAAGUGGGUGGUAAAUUCCAUCUAAAGCUAAAUAUUGGCGAGAGACCGAUAGCGAACAAGUACAGUGAUGGAAAGAUGAAAAGCACUUUGAAAAGAGAGUGAAACAGCACGUGAAAUUGUUGAAAGGGAAGGGCUUGCAAGCAGACACGGUUUUACCGGGCCAGCGUCAAAUAAACGGGGGGGAAAAGGGGGAAAGAAUGUGGCGCGUGCCUUCGGGUUCGCGUGUUAUAGCUUUCUCUAAUACCCCCAUGUUUGUUUGAGGCCUGCGAUUCUAGGACGCUGGCGUAAUGGUUGCAAGCCGCCCGUCUUGAAACACACGGACC